rnacentral:rRNA from 1 species
CCUACGGGUGGCAGCAGUGGGGAAUAUUGCACAAUGGGGGAAACCCUGAUGCAGCGACGCCGCGUGAGUGAAGAAGCGUUUCGGCGCGUAAAGCUCUGUCAGCGGGGAAGAAACACGGUUCGCGAGAGCCGCGGACGGUACCCGACCACGAAGCACCGGCUAACUACGUGCCAGCAGCCGCGGUAAUACGUAGGGGGCAAGCGUUGUCCGGAAUCAUUGGGCGUAAAGAGUUCGUAGGCGGCACUUAAAGUCUGGUGUGAAAGGCAGGGGCUCAACUUCUGUACGGCAGUGGAUACUGUUGAGCUAGAGUGCAGUAGAGGUAAGGGGAAUUCCUGGUGUAGCGGUGAAAUGCUUAGAGAUCAGGAGGAACAUCGGUGGCGAAAGCGGUUUACUGGGCUGUAAUUGACGCUGAGGAACGAAAGCCAGGGGAGCAAAUGGGAUUAGAUACCCGUGUAGUC